rnacentral:rRNA from 1 species
AUUGAACGCUGGCGGCAUGCCUUACACAUGCAAGUCGAACGGCAGCACGGGAGCAAUCCUGGUGGCGAGUGGCGAACGGGUGAGUAAUAUAUCGGAACGUGCCCAGUCGUGGGGGAUAACGCAGCGAAAGCUGUGCUAAUACCGCAUACGAUCCAUGGAUGAAAGCGGGGGACUCGCAAGGGCCUCGCGCGAUUGGAGCGGCCGAUAUCAGAUUAGCUAGUUGGUGGGGUAAAAAGCCCACCAAGGCGACGAUCUGUAGCUGGUCUGAGAGGACGACCAGCCACACUGGAACUGAGACACGGUCCAGACUCCUACGGGAGGCAGCAGUGGGGAAUUUUGGACAAUGGACGCAAGUCUGAUCCAGCCAUUCCGCGUGCAGGAUGAAAGGGCCCUCGGGGUUGUAAAACUGCUUUUUGACGGAACGAAAAGGUUUCUCUUAAUACGAGGAGCUCAUNACGGUA